GGGGCUGUUUGUGGGUAGGCCUUGGGAGAUCGAAUCUCGAAAGUCCCACAUCGGAUAAGUAAAGAGUGUCUAUGGCCUUAAGUAGCCUAGAGAAUUCUCUCCUCUCACGAGGCGUCUUUUCCCACGGGGGAAGGACAAAAUCGUGAGGCUGCCACAUGUGGCGCCGGGACUAUCCAGUGGGGACCGUCGGGCACGCGUCCGGCCCGGACCUAGUCAGAGCGGACAAUACUUCAUGCCAGAGAUCGGAGCC
rnacentral:lncRNA from 1 species